UGUCUGUCAUUUGAUUUCUCAUUCCCAUGCAUUCUCUUCUCUUCUUUCAAAGCUUUUCUUUCUUAUCAUUACAUUAUAUAAACACAUGUCUAGUUAGUCUCUUCAUGCCACAGCAGCCAUGGCAGCCCUCUUUAUCAGCAACUCAUUUGUGCUCACAUACUGCCUUGUAAUUUUAACCUCUAUGCUCUUCUCCUCAUAUGCUGAGCUUCUACGAUUUCAACACCCUCCAAAAUCUCCUCAUGGGUCUCUUAGCUUUUUGGUCCUUGGUGAUUGGGGUAGACGAGGUGCUUUCAACCAGUCUCUUGUUGCUCUUCAGAUGGGAAGGAUUGGAGAGAAGCUGGACAUAGAUUUUGUAGUAUCAACAGGGGAUAAUUUCUAUGAAAAUGGAUUGAAAAGUGAACAAGACCAUGCAUUUCAAGAAUCUUUUACUAAAAUCUACACUGCUAAAAGCCUCCAGAAGCAGUGGUACAGCGUUCUGGGUAACCAUGAUUAUAGAGGCAAUGCAGAAGCACAAUUGAGUCCUCACCUUAGAAACCUUGAUAGCAGAUGGCUUUGUUUAAGAUCUUUCAUUGUAGAUGCUGAAUUGGCUGAAAUAUUCUUUGUGGACACCACUCCUUUUGUCGAUGUCUACUUCAGUGAUGGAGAGGGCCAUAGUUACGACUGGAAGGGCAUCCCCUCUCGCAAGUCUUACAUUGCAAAUCUAAUAAAGGAUCUAGAAUUGGCAUUGAGGGAAUCAUAUGCCAAAUGGAAGAUCGUUAUUGGUCAUCAUGCAAUCAGAAGCAUUGGACAUCAUGGGGACACUCAAGAACUCGUAGAUAAGCUUCUUCCAGUACUCAUGGCCAACAAUGUUGAUUUUUACAUGAAUGGACAUGACCAUUGCCUUGAACAUAUCAGUGACACAAAGAGUCCAAUACAAUUUCUGACAAGUGGAGCGGGGUCUAAAGCUUGGAGGGGAGACCUUAAAGAAUUGAACAGAGAAGGUCUAAAAUUUUUCUACGAUGGCCAAGGUUUUAUGUCAGUGCAGUUGACUCAAACUGAAGCAGAGAUUGCAUUCUAUGAUGUUUUUGGUAAUAUUUUGCAUAGAUGGACCACAACCAAGUUGCUUUACCAAUCGCUAUAAGAAUUUAGAGCUAGAAGACAUUGUAACCCAAUUUGUGUUAAUGGGGGAUUAGAUAUUAGACAAAAUACAAGACAUCAUUUUCUCAUACAUUUUUAAAGCAUGAUUACCCCCCAAAAAAAUUGUGGAUUUUAUUAGGAAAAGUAGUUUGAAGGUUGUAUUUUAUUUUGUAGAAUUAGGGUAUUUAUUAUAAUUAUUAUCAUUAAUUAAGGAAUGUUAAUCUUU
rnacentral:misc_RNA from 1 species